rnacentral:lncRNA from 1 species
CUUCAAGGUAGAUGGAAAAGCUCAGCACAGGAUGGCGUCUGGUGCGUCAUGGAGCAGCAUCAUUGUCCGAAAGAUCUCCAGAUGGUCAACCAGAUCCGAGGUCCCGUCGUAGCUCUCAAAUUGGGAGAGCUCGAAGUUCGACGGGAUCGGUUCCUGCAUAAUUCUUUGAGAAAAAAGAGGGUCAGUACAGAUAUCCUCACCGUAAGC